rnacentral:lncRNA from 1 species
CCGCUUCAACCAGCAAGACCUGUUCGUCAUCUCUCUUCUCCUCCAGGACCAGUGUUCCCUUUCAACUUUCAGAAUGAAUAUCCAUGCAACACUCAGUGCUUACAAAGUGGAGUUGGCAGAUGUAAGACGAAUGGAAUGCAAGCCUUUUCUCAAGGUCUCAAUGAGCAGCAGCAACACCAGUCUCCAGUUAAAAAAGAGAGAAUUAAAUACAGCAGAGAUUUCUUGUUGAAGCUUUCAAGUGUUUCCAUCUGCAGAAAAAAACCAGACUUUCUGCCUGAUCAUCCCAUUGUACUUCAGAAACCAGAAAACAACCAAAGUUUUAAGUAGCAUUUUAAGAACAGAUGAAUUUGAAGAUAAAGAAUUAUUCAUUUUAUAUUUUGGACACCUGCCAAUGAAGUGGACCUAGUAACAAUAACUAAUGGACUGUGACGAUUCAAUUUAUUUUUACUUUUGAUGGUUGGCUAUUUGGCUUCUCAUAAAAGGAGAAAGAGAUAUUUUAAAGUAUAAAGAAUUUUUCUAAUCAGUUUCAGCUUUGCAGGCAGCUCCUGCAAAAAUUGGGAAGGAACACUCGAAAGUAGGGAUGUUGUUGGCGAAGUGGGAAGACUGUAUUAUAAUUUGCAUGCUACUUGCAAUUCUUGUUUUUCACCACUUGUAAUAAUGGAAUGGAAAUGUAAGCUGUAAAGAUUCUCAAAUAUAAAAUAUUUGCUACGAUG